UCAUAGCUCAGCUGGUUAGAGCGUGGUGCUGACGACCCCAAGGUUGCAGGUUCGAUCCCUGUAUGGGAGAG